rnacentral:RNase_P_RNA from 2 species
GGAGUCGGCCAGGCAGUCGCUCCUUGGGCUUUGUGCCGAAGGGGAGGAAAGUCCGGGCUCCGCAGGGCGGGAUGCCAGGUAAUGCCUGGGCGGCGAGAGCCGACGGAAAGUGCCACAGAAAAUAUACCGCCGACGGCCUUCGGGUCGGGUAAGGGUGAAAAGGUGCGGUAAGAGCGCACCGCGCCGGUGGUAACACGCGGCGGCAGGGUAAACCCCAUCCGGAGCAAGAUCGAAUAGGGGAACAUGGGGCUUCGUCUCCCGGCGCGCGGCCCGUGCGCAGUUCCCGGGUGGAUCGCUUGAGGUGCGCGGUGACGCGCAUCCCAGAUGAAUGGCUGCCCAUGACAGAACCCGGCUUAUCGGCCGGCUCCAUCU